rnacentral:lncRNA from 1 species
GUUGAGCUGAGAUAUACUAAGAGAGGUCCAGUAUAAAACAAUGCCAUUUUAUGAGAUAACCGAGAAGUUUCUUUCAAUGGUAUUGCAUCAUCGAUCCUAUUGAAGUACCUUUAGAAAAUUUUUAAUUUAUUUCUCUACUUACAUCUGAAUUCUUUGAAUCUUUCAAAAAUUUUAUAUUUGUAUCUCAUAUACAAAGUAGAGACAACUCUUUGGUUAGCACAUCACACGGG